rnacentral:rRNA from 2 species
AGAGUUUGAUCAUGGCUCAGAACGAACGCUGGCGGCAGGCCUAACACAUGCAAGUCGAACGGGUGCCUUCGGGCACUAGUGGCGGACGGGUGAGUAACGCGUGGGAACGUGCCCUUUGGUUCGGAAUAGCCUCGGGAAACUGGGAGUAAUACCGGAUACGGUCGAGAGACGAAAGAUUUAUCGCCGAAGGAUCGGCCCGCGUUGGAUUAGGUAGUUGGUGGGGUAAUGGCCUACCAAGCCGACGAUCCAUAGCUGGUUUGAGAGGAUGAUCAGCCACACUGGGACUGAGACACGGCCCAGACUCCUACGGGAGGCAGCAGUGGGGAAUCUUAGACAAUGGGGGAAACCCUGAUCUAGCCAUGCCGCGUGAUCGAUGAAGGCCUUAGGGUUGUAAAGAUCUUCCAGUGGGGAAGAUAAUGACGGUACCCACAGAAGAAGCCCCGGCUAACUCCGUGCCAGCAGCCGCGGUAAUUC